AGUGAACGCUGGCGGCGUGCCUAAUACAUGCAAGUCGAACGGAGAUUAAGUAGCUUGCUAUUUAAUCUUAGUGCGCACGGGUGAGUAAUAUAUAGCUAAUCUGCCCUACACUAGAGGACAACAGUUGGAAACGACUGUUAAUACUCUAUACUCCUUCUAAGCAUAAGUUAGUCGGGAAAGUUUUUCGGUGUAGGAUGAGGCUAUAUCGUAUCAGCUAGUUGGUGAGGUAAUGGCUCACCAAGGCUAUGACGCGUAACUGGUCUGAGAGGAUGAUCAGUCACACUGGAACUGAGACACGGUCCAGACUCCUACGGGAGGCAGCAGUAGGGAAUAUUGCUCAAUGGGGGAAACCCUGAAGCAGCAACGCCGCGUGGAGGAUGACACUUUUCGGA
rnacentral:rRNA from 1 species